rnacentral:rRNA from 1 species
AGAGUUUGAUCCUGGCUCAGGGUGAAUGCUGGCGGCGUGGAUAAGUCAUGCAAAUCAAGGGGGCCCCGCAAGGGGCAACCGGUGAACGAGGUAGUAACACGUAGGUAGAUCCCCAGAAGUCGGGCAUAGCCAGUCGAAAGACUGGGUAAUUCCCGAUAGUCCCGAAAGGGUAAAGGCAGUUAUUUAUUUAAUUGUCGCUUCUGGAGUUGCCUGCGUAGUAUCAGCUAGUUGGUAGGGUAACGGCCUACCAAGGCUACGACGCUUAGGGGAGCUGAGAGGCUGACCCCCACCGAUGGAACUGCGAACGGUCCAUACUCCUACGGGAGGCUGCAGACGAGAAUAUUCCGCAAUGGACGAAAGUCUGACGGAGCGACGCCGCGUGAUUGAUGAAGUGCUUCGGUACGUAAAGAUCUUUUAUCGGGGACGAAAUUAUUGACGGUACCCGAUGAAUAAGGGGCUCCUAACUCUGUGCCAGCAGCCGCGGUAA